UACAGAGGUCCCAAGCGUUGUUCGGAUUCACUGGGCGUAAAGGGUGCGUAGGUGGCGAGGUAAGUCGGAUGUGAAAGCUCGGAGCUCAACUCCGAAAUGGCAUUGGAAACUACCUUGCUCGAGGGUUGGAGGGGGGGCUGGAAUGCUUGGUGUAGCAGUGAAAUGCGUAGAUAUCAAGCGGAACACCAGUGGCGAAGGCGAGUCCCUGGACAACUCCUGACACUGAGGCACGAAAGCUAGGGGAGCAAACAGG
rnacentral:rRNA from 1 species